CAUUGAGACGCUGCAGUUUGUGUCUGGAUUUCGGCUGACAGUGCUUUCAGAAGUGACUCCAUCUCCCUCGGUCUACAGGCUGACCUCCAAAGAUGCCCAGGGUCUGGAAAUGUGCCUCAUCACAGAUUACUCCCCUGAGAAGCUCACUCUGAGCUCAGCUGAGCAGCAGACAUCUGCAGUGGUGGGGGUGGCCACUGAUGGGGACAGUGAGGAGUCCAGCUACCUGUGCACCUACUGGGCCACGAGGGAUCAGCUGCACUGUGCUGCCAGCCACGAGGGCUUUGGAGAGCUGGAGGGAGAGGACCCUGAGAGUGGUGCCAGUGCUGUCUGUGUCACAGGGCUGUCCCUCCACUUCAGGACAGAUGAGCACUUGAACACCAUGUCUCUGUCACAGCUGGGCCUCAAAAUCGUUUUAAUGAAAGGAAUCAUUUUUAACGUGCUGAUGACAGUGCUUGUGUGGAAGAAAAAAAAGGACUGAGGGGAACCAGCUGGGGCAGUCCUGAAGUGCCAAACCCAUCAGCUUUGAGAGAGCAUCGGGAGCAAGAGGGAGCCCAGGGAAAUUCCUUGUGCAAGGGACACCCCCCUGCUGCUCUUACACAUCACACCAGCCAUCUGAUUCUAAAUUGCUUCAUUUGCAUUGCUAUAAAAGUGCUCAAAAUGAAACAUUUCCAGCGUUCUGCCCUUUAGAUGUCUGGGUCAUUCACCAUCAAGUGCCUCCUUUGCAUGAAGCACACUUUGCUAUAAUUUUACAUUGCCAUUAAAAUGACAGCUUCUGCCUGGAGCAGUGCUGUGUGUUAAAAACUGCAAGCUAAAUAUCACCUGAAUGGGAAUUUUUCCUAUUUUGGUAGCUUUAGGGUAUUCAUACUCAGGGUGCACCCCCAGAAACCUUUCCAGGUGCAAAAGAAACCCUUUGAAAAGCGAAGGGAGGCUGACUCAGGAUGCACUGUCCUGCCACCCUUUGCUAGAUCAGAGCAAAAUAUCCCAUUUUUUCCCUAAAGGAUGAGCUGCAGGUUUCCCAGAAGUCCCAAAUUCAGUGAAAUUGUCACUUCAAUAUCACAGAAAAAAAAAAGACCUUUCUUUAUUAUUUUUUAAAGUCUAUCUGACCAUAACAUCUUAAUUUAAACCAGUUUAAGAUGCUUUGUGUUUAGUAAAAGUACAAACCACUUUUGUUCUUUUUGUUUACUUCUAACAACCUGAGGUCUCCCAAGCUCUUUUUGUAACAAUUGCAUAAAAAUGUACUGAAAUAUUUCCCUGUCCAUGUGUGCCCACCUUGGAACUGUGCUUGCCUGUGGCAUCUGCAUGCUGCUAAUCCAUCAACUGUCCUGGCACCCAUCAGAUGUCUUGGCAUUUCUUGAGGCUGUUAUCAAACAAUUCUUAU